AACUCCCGUGCUGAUCAGUAGUGG
rnacentral:piRNA from 4 species